rnacentral:lncRNA from 1 species
CCUGAACUUUGCAUGUUCUGAUGCUAAGCGUGCAAUGUAUGCACUUAAACAUAAAUUAAGAAACUUGGAAACUGUGUUUCACCAAAAAUAUGGUGUUUAUCUAGAACAACAAAAUACGAUGAGUCAGCGGUCCUUAAAAAGAUUUAGGCAAAUAUCUAGAAGCCACUAUGUUAAGAAGCUCAAGUGGAUAUUAUAUAAACAGCUUCCAACUCCCAUGGUGAAAAAGUUGCCUUUGAAGAUGUUGUGGCCAAUGUAAGUGAUAAAGCGAUCCCACAACCUAUAAAAGACCUUAUUAUAACUGGCCCCUCUAAUGUGCUAAAAAUGCUGCCUGAUAUACACUAGGUUGUGCCAGAAAUAGACAGAGCUAUAUGUUCCUUAGAUGAUACGCAUAAAGAGAGAAUACGCUGGGAUAUUGUUAGACAGAUGGACAUAGCCAGAAGAAAAUACCCACAGAGAGUGGCUAAACAAAAGGCCCUCCUCUUAUAUGCUAGAGAUUGGAUGACCAAAGAACGGAUUAUUUGUACUAAGGAUGACAAGUCCUGAAAAGUGUCCUUAUAGAGCAGGG